rnacentral:tRNA from 1 species
UCCUUCAUAGCUCAGUCAGUAAAGAAUCUGCCUGCAAUGUAGAAGACCCAGGUUUGAUUCCUGGCUUGGGAA